GGGGAAUAUUGCACAAUGGGCGCAAGCCUGAUGCAGCCAUGCCGCGUGUGUGAAGAAGGCCUUCGGGUUGUAAAGCACUUUCAGCGAGGAGGAAGGGUAGUGUGUUAAUAGCACAUUGCAUUGACGUUACUCGCAGAAGAAGCACCGGCUAACUCCGUGCCAGCAGCCGCGGUAAUACGGAGGGUGCAAGCGUUAAUCGGAAUUACUGGGCGUAAAGCGCACGCAGGCGGUUUGUUAAGUCAGAUGUGAAAUCCCCGCGCUUAACGUGGAACUGCAU
rnacentral:rRNA from 1 species